rnacentral:rRNA from 1 species
UAUACAUGCAAGUCGAGCGGACAGAUGGGAGCUUGCUCCCUGAAGUCAGCGGCGGACGGGUGAGUAACACGUGGGCAACCUGCCUGUAAGACUGGGAUAACUCCGGGAAACCGGGGCUAAUACCGGAUAAUUCUUUCCCUCACAUGAGGGAAAGCUGAAAGAUGGUUUCGGCUAUCACUUACAGAUGGGCCCGCGGCGCAUUAGCUAGUUGGUGAGGUAACGGCUCACCAAGGCAACGAUGCGUAGCCGACCUGAGAGGGUGAUCGGCCACACUGGGACUGAGACACGGCCCAGACUCCUACGGGAGGCAGCAGUAGGGAAUCUUCCGCAAUGGACGAAAGUCUGACGGAGCAACGCCGCGUGAGUGAUGAAGGUUUUCGGAUCGUAAAACUCUGUUGUUAGGGAAGAACAAGUACCGGAGUAACUGCCGGUACCUUGACGGUACCUAACCAGAAAGCCACGGCUAACUACGUGCCAGCAGCCGCGGUAAUACGUAGGUGGCAAGCGUUGUCCGGAAUUAUUGGGCGUAAAGCGCGCGCAGGCGGUUCCUUAAGUCUGAUGUGAAAGCCCCCGGCUCAACCGGGGAGGGUCAUUGGAAACUGGGGAACUUGAGUGCAGAAGAGAAGAGUGGAAUUCCACGUGUAGCGG